CUACGGGGCGCACCAGUGGGGAAUAUUGGACAAUGGGGGAAACCCUGAUCCAGCAAUGCCGCGUGUGUGAAGAAGGCCUGCGGGUUGUAAAGCACUUUCGGUUGGGAGGACUGCUUCUAGCACUAAUAUUGUUGGAAGUUGACGUUACCUUCAGGAGAAGCACCGGCUAACUCCGUGCCAGCAGCCGCGGGUAAUACGGAGGGUGCAAGCGUUAAUCGGAAUUACUGGGCGUAAAGCGCGCGUAGGCGGCUAGAUCAGUCGGGUGUGAAAGCCCCGGGCUUAACCUGGGAACUGCAUCCGAUACUGUCUAGCUUGAGUACAGGAGAGGAGAGUGGAAUCCCACAUGUAGCGGUGAAAUGCGUAGAUAUGUGGAGGAACACCAAUGGCGAAGGCAGCUCUCUGGCCUGAUACUGACGCUGAGGUGCGAAAGCGUGGGGAGCAAACAGGAUUAGAUACCCUCGUAGUC
rnacentral:rRNA from 1 species